UACAGAGGUCUCAAGCGUUGUUCGGAUUCAUUGGGCGUAAAGGGUGCGUAGGCGGCGCGGUAAGUCGGGUGUGAAAUCUCGGAGCUUAACUCCGAAACUGCAUUCGAUACUGCCGUGCUUGAGGACUGGGGAGGAGACUGGAAUUUACGGUGUAGCGGUGAAAUGCGUAGAUAUCGUAAGGAAGACCAGUGGCGAAGGCGGCAUCCUGGACCGACACUGACGCUGAGGAGCGAAAGCCAGGGGAGCAAACGGG
rnacentral:rRNA from 1 species